GAUGGAGAAACUCGCCUCGAGUGAAGAAGGUGUCAGCGAUUGCUAAAAUCUCGUUGUUAGAGAAGAACACGAGUGAGAGUAACUGUUCAUUCGAUGACGGUAUCUAACCAGCAAGUCACGGCUAACUACGUGCCAGCAGCCGCGGUAAUACGUAGGUGGCAAGCGUUGUCCGGAUUUAUUGGGCGUAAAGGGAACGCAGGCGGUCUUUUAAGUCUGAUGUGAAAGCCUUCGGCUUAACCGGAGUAGUGCAUUGGAAACUGGAAGACUUGAGUGCAGAAGAGGAGAGUGGAACUCCAUGUGUAGCGGUGAAAUGCGUAGAUAUAUGGAAGAACACCAGUGGCGAAAGCGGCUCUCUGGUCUGUAACUGACGCUGAGGUUCGAAAGCGUGGGUAGCAAACAGGAUUAGAUACCCUGGUAGUCCACGCCGUAAACGAUGAAUGCUAGGUGUUGGAGGGUUUCCGCCCUUCAGUGCCGCAGCUAACGCAAUAAGCAUUCCGCCUGGGGAGUACGACCGCAAGGUUGAAACUCAAAGGAAUUGACGGGGGCCCGCACAAGCGGUGGAGCAUGUGGUUUAAUUC
rnacentral:rRNA from 2 species